rnacentral:lncRNA from 1 species
CAUUUCCUUUCCAAACAUAGUAUUUACUCUAGGGUUUUGUAUAAGCAAGAGGAAGAGAAAGAAAUUACGGUAGAGAGAGGCAGGAAAGAGACACGGCGGCGGCAUUCAGGGUUCCGCCGCAAACACAACGACGGUGGCGACUGUCACGGUGACCUAGGGUUCAGACUUCGAUAGUAGGCGACGGUUUGUGAACUCUGAUGUUGAUGAAGAUGUCUUAGAAAGGUGGAUCGGUGUUAUGCAGUCAAACUCAGGGCAGAUCCGCGAUGGUAACGGGUGAUCCUCAGUCUUCCGGCGUAUUAGGUAAUUAAAGAUUAGAUCGCUGCUGCACCAUUUUCUGAGGAAAAAACGAACCUGAUGCGUCAGAUUGAUCUAAAAGGGUGCUGAGAAAAAGAAUGCCGUUUUAGGAAUCAUUGGGUUAUGUGAACAUCAGUAUGGGGGAUGUUUGUGCACAACAGGAAAAUCAAUGAGACGUACUGUCUGAUUGAUUCGAGGAAUGGGAAGAUCCAGAUUGAGUUGCAUUGGAUGGCUGUAUCUUGAUGUACAUGUUAUGUCUUAAUUUGUAAGCCCCGGCCGCAUCGCGGCGGGAGCCUCCAUCUAGUUCUUAUCUAAGAAUAAAAAAAAACAUAUAUAUCGGUUUAUAACCGAAAUAACCAAAAUCGAACCUUAACCGCCGAUUAACCACUUAUCGUUUAUGGUUAUGAUUAAUAUUUUUCAAUUAACCGAACUCUCA